ACUCACCCAGCAGUUUCCAGCUUCAACCUCCCUGCCUCGGAAACCUCCUCUAUGCCUCAGGCUGAAGCCAGGCUCCCAGUCAGCUCCCCCCAUGCCUCCCUGGAAACUUUCCUGUCUUGACACUUGUCCCAUUAGGAAAGAGAGACAGGAGGGGGCAGUGGUUAACGCACAGACUGAAGUCAAUUUCUGCUUUGUGCCCCAUUCAGUGGAAACAGAACCUUGGCAAGUCCAGAGUUUUCCCACUCUUAGCCUACUCUGCCUAGGGAUUGAGUCUAGCUGUGGCCUUCCUUUAAAAUGAGUCUGUGGACCUUCUUAGGUCAAGGGUCACCACAGAUGGCCUUUGCACAGUGGUUUAUAUGCAGCAGCUCUCACACCAACCCUAUGAAGAAAGGACUAUCACCAAUCCCACUUUAUAGAAGCAAUUCUUCUGAGGAACACCAAGAGACAGCGUAGACAAGCUCAGAGUUAGCUGGAAUUAGAGCAGAGAAGCAGGAAGGAUGGAAGUGGCUGUGUUUUCCAAGAUGGCUACAAAUUCUUCCAUCCCACAAGCUCUUUUUACAAUGUGAGGUGGGC
rnacentral:lncRNA from 1 species